CCUACGGGAGGCAGCAGUGAGGAAUAUUGGUCAAUGGACGCAAGUCUGAACUAGCCAUGCCGCGUGCAGGAAGACGGUCCUAUGGAUUGUAAACUGCUUUUGUACGGGAAGAAACCCUCCGACGUGUCGGAGCUUGAUGGUACCGUAAGAAUAAGCAUCGGCUAACUCCGUGCCAGCAGCCGCGGUAAU
rnacentral:rRNA from 1 species